rnacentral:rRNA from 1 species
UACAGGGGGGGCAAGCGUUGUUCGGAAUUACUGGGCGUAAAGGGCUCGUAGGUGGCCAACUAAGUCAGACGUGAAAUCCCUCAGCUUAACUGGGGAACUGCGUCUGAUACUGGAUGGCUUGAGUUUGGGAGAGGGAUGCGGAAUUCCAGGUGUAGCGGUGAAAUGCUUAGAUAUGACAUAGAACAUCGAUUGCGAAGGCAGCUCGCUACGCUAUUAUUGAUACUGAGGCACGAAAGCGUGGGGAUCAAACAGG